ensembl:lncRNA
CACCAAGGUAUUAAUAUAAACCAGAGUCUCUAGUCGGUGAACUGGUCGACCACCAAGGUAUUAAUAUAAACCAGAGUCUCUAGUCGGUGAACUGGUCGACCACCAAGGUAUUAAUAUAAACCAGAGUCUCUAGUCGGUGAACUGGUCGACCACCAAGGUAUUAAUAUAAACCAGAGUCUCUAGUCAGUGAACUGGUCGACCACCAAGGUAUUUAUAUAAACCAGAGUCUCUAGUCAGUGAACUGGUCGACCACCAAGGUAUUAAUAUAAACCAGAGUCUCUAGUCAGUGAACUGGUCGACCACCAAGGUAUUAAUAUAAACCAGAGUCUC